rnacentral:rRNA from 1 species
UACGGCGGGGGCUAGCGUUGUUCGGAAUUACUGGGCGUAAAGCGCGCGUAGGCGGACCUGCAAGUCGGGGGUGAAAGCCCGAGGCUCAACCUCGGAACUGCCUUCGAUACUGCGGGUCUCGAGUCCGGGAGAGGUGAGUGGAAUUCCUAGUGUAGAGGUGAAAUUCGUAGAUAUUAGGAAGAACACCAGUGGCGAAGGCGGCUCACUGGCCCGGUACUGACGCUGAGGCGCGAAAGCCAGGGGAGCAAACGGG